UCUUGGUCAUGCUUCAGUUCAUCAUUCUAGGAGGAGGCAUCGACUACUGCCAAGAAGUCUUGACUCCACAUUGCUUCAGACUGAGCAAUCCAGAGGACACCUAGAUGCUUCACAUAAAUGAUUGUCCGGGCGCAUACUGAAGAAUCGUUUUUGGAGAAUUAUAUAAAAGCAAGCUAGCAGAUACAAUAAUGAACUGGCAAGUGUUUAUAUGCCUACCCUACGUGACACAUGCCCUCCAUGGCUAACAGCUGGUUGAGAUCCAACCUGUACACAGGGACAACUGCAGCACAGGGAUAUUUGUUUGAAGGGUACUGCUACAAGAGAAUUCCAGUGGACACGAUUUACAAAAGGGGUAAAGGGAAACUUUGAGCAGGCAAGAGGUUUCUGGCCUCUCAAGGCAGACAUUCUCACAGCUGUUUUUCAGAGGUAAGUGAUUUCCUGAGAACUUUAAGCCAAGAUGACACAACUGUGACAGAUCAGAGUUGGGUCUUGAAUCCUUGGAGCACAGAGAUCCUUGCCACAGGCUGAAAACUGGUAUAGGUUCAAUAUAAGAUGGGAUAAGUUCUUGGAAGAGAAGCCGAUUGAGAGUCACUGUAUUCAUAAAAGCCAUAUUGGCUUCAGAGGUAUCUGAGUCUCACAUUACUAAAGCUUGCAAGAGACGCUGAGGAAAUCACGUUUGCUGGAUCCUUACUCUCCUCCCUACGUAUCAGCAGAGAGGGACCUUUCAUCUGAUCUAGCAUGACUGCUCUUACAUUUUUGUGUACUAAUUGCUCUGCAAUAGAAAAAGGACUGGUUUUGAAUGGCUUUUGCUGAAAAAGCACUUCGUAUUUGGCAAAGUAAUGGUCAACAUGAAAGUGCUGUGGUGUAGGGGGACAGCAGCUAUGGCCAUUCUGUUCUUGUAUUGUCACUCCAUUGCUCCAGCAAGUCACCAGUUCAGGAGAUGGCCUCAUAUUUCUGCUUCUGGUUCAUGGAUAUUUUGGGAGGUGAGAUGGUGGUCCCUAACAUGUGAAUUCUCUAAACUCACCAUGGACACAGACUGGACCCAUGCCCUUGCCUCUGGCCACCUUGGCACUUUCAUUCGUUCUCCCAGAUGAUCAUGGAAAGAAAACUCCAAAUUAUAAGAGAUAAUGGAAGAGUAUUCUGUGGAAAGGACCUGAUUAUCAGUGGACUAUACCUUUGUAUGUAGUGAAAUAAUUUUUUUGAAAAUGUGUCUGAUCUUGAUCUGGGUUUUGUAUUUCACAUGUGACUCCUACCACCAGACUGACAAUAUCUGGUCUAACAUCUUGUCACCACCCUUUCUUCCCCUAGUAACCUAAAGGCCUCCAUUUCCUAACCACCAUAACCAGUGUUCCUCAUGCACAAAUAUAAUUCUUCAUAGAGAUCCCUUGAAAUCCUAGUGAAAAUAUUUUUUUAAAUGACAAUAUGUGCCACAGAACAGAA